UAGACUUUGAGAAUAUAGAAAUUAUCCUUUUUACUAGGUUAAGUAGUCACUGGCAUUGCUUGGAUUCCAUGGAGAGUGGAUCACAUGGAUUGUUUAACUAAAAUAGCGAAUUUUGAAUACAUUCAUUUUGAUUUUCUUGCUAAUACAACUUUAUCAAUAUUUAGUUUUGUGUCGCUUUGUGUUUACUUCGUAGUAAUUCAUAUCCUCCUGCUGGCAUUAUUUUGCACAUUUUUUUCUCUCCCAGUUUCUUCAUAUGGAUAACUAUUGUAAGAUACUGAUUAUUAAAUCUUCAUUUCCCCUCUGGCUGCCUGCUGAUUUUCUCAGGUCUGUUUACAAGACUCUUCC
rnacentral:misc_RNA from 1 species